CCUACGGGAGGCUGCAGUGGGGAAUAUUGCGCAAUGGGGGGAAGCCUGAUGCAGCAACGCCGCGUGAAGGAUGAAGUAUUUCGGUACGUAAACUUCUAUCAGCAGGGAAGAAGAUGACGGUACCUGACUAAGAAUCACCGACUAACUACUUGCCAGCAGCCGCGGUAAUACGUAGGGGGCAAGAGUUAUCCGGAUUUACUGGGUGUAAAGGGAGCGUAGACGGGCCAGCAAGUCUGAUGUGAAGACCCGGGGCGCAACCCCGGGAGUGCAUUGGAAACUGCGGGCCUGGAGUGCUGGAGAGGUAAGCGGAAUUCCUAGGGUAGCGGUGAAAUGCGUAGAUAUUAGGAGGAACACCAGUGGCGAAGGCGGGUUACUGGACGGUAACUGACGUUGAGGCUCGAAAGCGUGGGGAGCAAACAGGAUUAGAUACCCCUGUAGUC
rnacentral:rRNA from 1 species